rnacentral:rRNA from 1 species
UACGUAGGGGCCGAGCGUUGUCCGGAGUUACUGGGCGUAAAGCGCGCGCAGGCGGUCGUUCAAGUCGCGUGUGAAAGCCCCCGGCUCAACUGGGGAGGGUCACUCGAUACUGAUCGACUUGAAGGCAGGAGAGGGAAGCGGAAUUCCCGGUGUAGUGGUGAAAUGCGUAGAUAUCGGGAGGAACACCAGUGGCGAAGGCGGCUUCCUGGCCUGUUCUUGACGCUGAGGCGCGAAAGCUAGGGGAGCAAACGGG